AAAUGAAUAGACGGGGGCCCGCACAAGCAGUGGAGUAUGUGGUUUAAUUCGAAGCAACGCGAAGAACCUUACCAGGGCUUGACAUCCCUCUGACUGGCUUAGAGAUAAGCCUUUUCUUCGGAACAGAGGUGACAGGUGGUGCAUGGUUGUCGUCAGCUCGUGUCGUGAGAUGUUGGGUUAAGUCCCGCAACGAGCGCAACCCCUGUUGUUAGUUGCCAUCAUUAAGUUGGGCACUCUAACGAGACUGCCGGUGACAAAUCGGAGGAAGGUGGGGACGACGUCAAAUCAUCAUGCCCCUUAUGUCCUGGGCUACACACGUACUACAAUGGCGACUACAGAGGGCAGCAACAUCGCGAGGUAGAGCAAAUCCCCAAAAGUCGCCCCAGUUCGGAUUGCAGGCUGAAACUCGCCUGCAUGAAGUCGGAAUUGCUAGUAAUGGCAGGUCAGCAUACUGCCGUGAAUACGUUCCCGGGCCUUGUACACACCGCCCGU
rnacentral:rRNA from 1 species